CCCAUGCCCAGCUUCAUAUACUGACUUUCAGAGGGAAGGCUUCCCUGGUGACCUUGAUGUCUAAGGGGAUUCUCCAUUAUGCUCCUACAUCUCAAGACUGUGCGUCAGGACUCCUUCCUUCUCUCUACCCAUGGUUCCAAGACAGUGACCCUGGAAGACAGUCAGCAUGAAGAGGACAUGAAGCAAAUUGGAAAAUUUCAAUGGGCCAUCCAACGGAAGAAGCAGAAAAUGAGUCCUUCCCAGAUUUGGGGGACAUCGG
rnacentral:lncRNA from 1 species